GCCGGUUUGGCUCAGUGGCUAGAGCGUCGGUCUGUGGACCGAAGGGUUCCUGGUUCCAUCCCGGGCCCUGGUU
rfam:Myotis davidii contig49923, whole genome shotgun sequence.